rnacentral:rRNA from 1 species
AUUGAACGCUAGCGGGAUGCUUUACACAUGCAAGUCGAACGGCAGCGCGGACUUCGGUCUGGCGGCGAGUGGCGAACGGGUGAGUAUGUAUCGGAACGUGCCCAGUAGCGGGGGAUAACUACGCGAAAGCGUAGCUAAUACCGCAUACGCCCUACGGGGGAAAGCAGGGGAUCGUAAGACCUUGCACUAUUGGAGUGGCCGAUAUCGGAUUAGCUAGUUGGUGAGGUAACGGCUCACCAAGGCGACGAUCCGUAGCUGGUUUGAGAGGACGACCAGCCACACUGGGACUGAGACACGGCCCAGACUCCUACGGGAGGCAGCAGUGGGGAAUUUUGGACAAUGGGGGCAACCCUGAUCCAGCCAUCCCGCGUGUGCGAUGAAGGCCUUCGGGUUGUAAAGCACUUUUGGCAGGAAAGAAACGUCGCGGGCUAAUACCCCGUGGAACUGACGGUACCUGCAGAAUAAGCACCGGCUAACUACGUG